UGACGGAGCCCACAUACGAGGAGUCCGGCGGUAGUGGCGCGUGCCCUGUCGUAAGUGUAACCAUUACGUACCCUUUGAGGCUCCUAAAUACUCUUCCGAACGCAUGUGACCAGUUGCUGUGUCGCGUGUAACCUAGAUUGACGCAGCGACGGAGGGGCAGCCUGAGGGACCGAACACCGAUUCCUGGAGGCUUCGUGAUCAUCGUGAUGCGCCAUGAGUUCCUACAGACCGUGCCUUCCUACAAGGACAAGCUGGAGCCUUACAUGGACCAGCUGGAGGCGGACGGGAAGUGGAAGAAGGUGGAGCGGCGCAUCGUCCCAAACUAUUUCUGUGACAAGGAGGGUCUCGUCUUCGUCUUCCGCAUCACUAAGCCUGAGUGAGGAGGAAGAGGA